rnacentral:tmRNA from 1 species
CCCUUGCACAAACCCCUUGCCCACCCCUAUAUUAGCGAUGCCGGCUUGCCGGCUAUGGCGAUAAACGUCUGACGGAAUAAGCGUUACGGACCCGGGGGCGGUACCCGGCGCCUCCACCAAUUCCUUCCCUCGCCAAUUGGCUGAGGGAAUUAGCGGGGGCGAAACAGGAUCGACGUGCGUAGUAAAGGUCAGGUUUUUGCUCGGUGAGGCACCACCGUUAUCGGUCCACAAAGCAAUAGUUGCCAAUGAUAACUAUGCUCAGGCUCGUCUCGCUGCGUAAGCGGUCAGACGAACCGAAACUUAAGUCCUAGGGCCUUAGCAGUUCUAGGCGGGGUUCGGGAGGCGCCUGGCAACAGAAGCCUCCCACU